CCGUACUGACGCCUCAGAGGAUUUGCAGCGGAGGUUGAGGGCGGUGUCACAAACCACAUCCUGCCCUUACCAGCCAACUGUGUCACGUUGCAGUCAAACUUCUUCCUCAUCAGAACCGUGAUAUGUGGCUGGUUGUUGGAGGUAUCCCAUGAAGCAACAGGGGGUUUUGCCAAUAACAUUAAAGAGGAAAUCACUUGGGAAAGAAGAAGAUGCAGUGAGAUGACAAUAUUGGGCCAAUAGGAGUAGCCCAUCACACCACUGCAGACUUGGGAAGUAUGCCUGCGGUGGAUCGUAUCCCAGAGGAUACCAACUGGACACAGAUCAACACAAAAACAUCAACAAACAUAGAGACAGGUCUGAACAAAGACACAGAUAUUGGGUUAAGCAACAACAUGGAGGGGGUCUCACCCUCCAGUAUAGUGACAGCUACAAACACUUUAGAUCUAAUGACAGGAGCAGAAAGGACAACUAUCAAAUUACAAUACCUCAAGGACCAUGUUAAAGUAAGUGCUCAUGUGAAUGGGUUACAGUUAGAUGGUGCAGUAAAGCACCUAAACAAAGAUAAUGACCCUGACACCAAUACAGAUGCACUGCUAUAUAGCAGCAUCGUCACACAUUCUAAUCAGGAUUCAUUUAAUUUAAGUAACCAUCCUCAGCCACACUCACAAAUAAAAUACAAAUUUCGGGACAUUGUCCAGAACACACAAACAGAAACACUUAGGGUUUCAGAGGAGAACAGAAGAGCUGACAACAUGACUUUGCUUCUGAAAGCCAAAAAUGCUAAGGGAAUCCUACCCCCUCAAAGUACUGUACCUAAUUGCAAAGAUGUAAAUGGAACAUCCUCACCUCUUCGAUCCUCUAGGCUGAUCUGUUUUAUUGUUCUGUUGGCCCUCGGAGUGACCGCUGCUGUCUUUCUCGGUCUGACUAUCUUUCUGUCGGUGUGCUUGUCUGUCCAGAAGAAGAGGGGUCGGAGGGGAAGUGGUAGACUAGGAGAAACUGCUAAAGGUGUGGAGAUGCGGGUGUUUGUGGGUGGCCCAGAAGUCAUCCGUGGAGGAGAGAGUGGAAUUUUGGUAUGCCAAUGGAGCAACAAUGGAAUUUGACAACAGGGGGAAAGACAGUGAGAAGGGCAGAAAAAAGGAAAAUGGGAGAGGGGGAGAGGGUGAGGGCUUUUGGGCUCAGCCUAAAGUGACACUGGAUGACAUUACAGAAUUUUGGUAUGUGAAUGGGAUGGCAUUACCUGAGACACAGGUAUAGACUCACUGUGAAAAUGAAGAAGACUGCAGUACUGUGGUGUGUCUGCACGGACAAUGAAAGAGUAGAGUUCAGAUUUCUUGUGAAUUCUUGUAGUGUGCUACUUCAUUGAAACCAGAUAUUACCAAAGCCAUCUUGUAAAUAUUAUUAGAAGUUUUAUUUUUUGAUGUUUUGUACUGGAACACCAUGUAAGGGAACUGAUAUGAAUCUGGGAAUAAACUAAUCUAACUCCGA